CCACGCCCCGAGCCCCCAGCGCCUUCUGGGAGUCUCCUUACAAUCCGAGGUCUUUCGUGGGAUGCGGGCGGCGGGGUCUGGCUUCCCGGGCCGAGUGUCGCGCUGAGAAAGCUUGGCUUCACCCACCCGGUUGCGCCUCCCAGCUCACUGCAUUAAGCCCCUUGUGUGUGUGUGUGUGGGGGGGGGCGCUCAGAGGCAUUAGGAAAACACCACUGAUCAUUCACCGUGGCCUGAGCUUUUAGUGGGCGCUUGCAGUGUGUCGCGUUCAGUACUUCACUGCGCGGAGUCCUCCCAACGAGUCCAUGAGAGAAGGAAGGCGUGAUACCCAUUUGCAGAUUCCAUCCCGAGGGUCGUGGGGUUUAAUUUGCCCCGGUCACACAGCAGGAAAACUACAAUCAGAAUUGGAGUCUGUGUGACUCCAGAGACCCCAGUGACGGGACAAUAUCAAAACUUGAUUAUCAAGUUAAAAUAACGCGAUUAUUUUCAUAAAUGGCAACAAAGAAAACCUGGAACGCUUCCAAAGCUACUGGGAGAACUUUCUGUGUCCACCGUCUUAGGCACUUCUUAGUUAUCUGCACACUGAAGCUGUCUCAAAAGAGUUAGUGGACUUUAUUACAGCCAACCAUUUCUGUUCCUUUCAGAGCAGCUCUAAAAGCUUUUUACUGACCCCCACUCCCAAGCCAGUAUCAGAUUCUAGGCAUCUCUUGCCUGCUCCCCUCCACCAAAAGUGGGAGAUCCGAAUGUGCUCACGCGUUUAAAAAUCUCAAGCUGGAUAUUGUGUAAUUUUGCUUUGGAUGGAGAAUAAAGUGUCAGUACAAUC